rnacentral:rRNA from 1 species
CAAAAACAUGGCUCCUUGAAAUUAAAUAAUAAGGAGUCGGACCUGCCCAGUGAAUUUUUUUAACGGCCGCGGUACUCUGACCGUGCAAAGGUAGCAUAAUCAUUUGCCUUAUAAUUGAAGGCUAGUAUGAAUGGUUUGACAAGAAUAUAGCUGUCUCUUUAUGAUUUAACAGAAUUUUAUUUUCAGGUGAAGAAGCCUGAAUUAAAUUAAAAGACAAGAAGACCCUAUCGAGCUUAUAAAGAAUUUAAUAGAAUUUAUAUUAAUAUUUUUAAAAAAUUAUCUAUUAAAAAUUUUAGUUGGGGCGACUGAGGAACAUAAAAAGCUUCCUUUAAAAUUACUUUAUAUUCAAACUAGAAUUGAUCCAAAACAUUUUGAUUAAAGGAAUUAGUUACCGUAGGGAUAACAGCAUUAUCUUUUUUAAGAGCUCAUAUCGAAAAAAAGGUUUGUGACCUCGAUGUUGGACCAGAAUAUCCUAAAGAUGCAGCAGUCUUUAAGGGUUGGUCUGUUCGACCAUUAAAAUUCUACGUGA